CUUUGCCAGUAUUGGAAACUAACUUUCACCACUUUCUAUAAUGUUUUACCAGAACCUCACUUAAAAUAAAUGGAACUAUCCUUUUUAUAUGCUUAUGACACCAGGAUUGUGUUUGCACUAUGCAAAGUAAACAUGACUUUCGUUAAGUGACUGGUUGGCUAUAUUUGAAAUUUUAGCUUCAUCCUGUGAAUAUUCUUUUUUUCUCAUCCUUAUCAGAGUCUAUUUCUAACCUGCCUCUUGCUCUUGAAUGUAACCCCAGAUACCUUAUUUUUGUAGGACAGAGUUUAUCCACCAUUUCAAUCCCCUUCAGUGCAGCCUCUUUCCUCUUGUUUCUGCCCUGCUGGACAGUGAUGAUGAUGAUGAUCGGCCUUCGGGCUGUAGAGGCAGAUGGACUGUCAUCCUCCCUUCUGCCUGCUGCUGUUGUGUCCUUUCUCCCCUGAAAGCAUGAUACCUGUGCAGACCCUGAUUAUGUCCCAACCGUACUGCAGAGGCCCACGACCCCUUGCUGUGCAGGCUGCGAGCUAAGGUGGUGGAAGGUCUUCCAGGUGUCGGUCCCCAUGCGCUGCGAAUGUGUCCUGAAUAUCCUCUAUACCUUUCCCUGUACAAUUCAAGUUGGAGCAAGAGGAGAAGGGUUUCCCUGACAACAGCCCGGUCUCUGAUGACCAUUUGUGGACUCACCUUCUCGUCCCAAGCUUCCUGUGGACUCCGGAUCAUUACCUCCACGACUGGCUUCCUUCUUUCUGCACUACCUGUCCGCCCAGCAUUGCAGCCAUCCAAGCCCUCUGGAUUGCACCUCCGCUGCAGGCAAAUAAACCACAAAUCAUUCUCCGGACAUCUCUCCCUGCCUUCAUUCCCCACGGACUUCUCAUUCUCCCCCCAUUUGUUAUUUAUUUAUUUAUUUUAUGUAAUGCCAAAACCAUUAUUAUUUAUUUUAUGUGUUUAUUGUGUUUAAUGUGACUGUCUUAUCUCUUUUCCUUUUUUCUGCAAAGCCCUUUGAAAUACUUUGUGCAUUAAUGGUGUCUGUUUACACAUCUCAGAGGCCUUGAAUGAAUAAUAUAAUUUUACCAAUUUACAAAUUAAAGCUUUGAAAUAGUCCUUAAUUAAAUGUAACAUAAUCUUAAUCGUUGAUGUGUCAAAACUUGAAUGAGAAUUAUGUCUUUUAUUUAAUAGAUUGAUUACAUGUUGUAGGAAAAUAGUAAUGGGAGAACAGCCCAGUCAUAAGAUAGUUACAGUGAUUUUAAUGAUUUUUAUAAUGAGUUUUGUUAGAGAUGCCUGAAAAAUGAUGUUUUGGAAAAACAGUGGGAUCCAUUUCUCAUCGUCUGUCUAACAUGACUUGUCUCUCUUCUUACCCCAAGUCCACUUUAAUUGCUUGGUCCCUCCCUCAAAAUGUCUCCACACCCUGGAAGGAAAGCCUUCCAGUACGAUGAGUUAUGAGUUAAACUGUAUCAUUUAUAUUGUGUGCUACAGUACAUUUCUCUAUUUUUUGUGUAAAACUGUGCAAGCUUUCAGUUUUUUAUCCUGGUUCUGUAAGUCGUCCAAAGCGGGGAAUAUUAAGAAAUCCAAAGGUGACAGCCUUCCAUUCCUAGAGUGAACUUCCAGCCAGACGAAUCAGCUAUUUUUCAAUUUACCCAGCCCAUUAAAUCAAUAUUAGGCUCCUGAAAGACUGACAAGCCUUUUUCAAUCUUAGAUUUUAAUCACAGCACUGUAAAUAACAUUUUAAAUAUUUAUUCCCUAUUACAAAUUUCCCUUUUAGUUUUUGUGUCAAGUGAUUAGUUGUUUUUCUUUGUCAGACAGUAUGUUAUGUUUCUUUUGCAAUCUUUAAGUGUCAUUUCAUUAGAUUUUAGAUUAUUAACAUGGGUCAAUAAGAUGUAAUAAAGGUCCAGAUUUCUGGCGAGCUGUCAUAUUGGGAAACAAGACAUUUAACAUCUAUAAUUAAUA